rnacentral:rRNA from 1 species
UACGUAGGGGGCAAGCGUUGUCCGGAAUCAUUGGGCGUAAAGAGCGUGUAGGCGGCUCGGUAAGUCCGCUGUGAAAGUCCAGGGCUCAACCCUGGAAUGCCGGUGGAAACUGUCGAGCUAGAGUCCGGAAGAGGCGAGUGGAAUUCCUGGUGUAGCGGUGAAAUGCGCAGAUAUCAGGAGGAACACCAAUGGCGAAGGCAGCUCGCUGGGACGGUACUGACGCUGAGACGCGAAAGCGUGGGGGGCAAACAGG